rnacentral:rRNA from 1 species
UACGUAGGGUGCAAGCGUUAAUCGGAAUUACUGGGCGUAAAGCGUGCGCAGGCGGUUGUGUAAGACAGAUGUGAAAGCCCCGGGCUUAACCUGGGAAUGGCAUUGGAAACUGGCGGGCUUGAGUGCGGCAGAGGGGGGUGGAAGUUCCGCGUGUAGCAGUGAAAUGCGUAGAGAUGCGGAGGAACACCGAUGGCGAAGGCAGCCCCCUGGGUCGACACUGACGCUCAGGCACGAAAGCGUGGGGAGCAAACAGG